rnacentral:SRP_RNA from 1 species
CUAAGCUAGAUGGGGAGCUAGUAGUGCCCUGUAACCCGAGAUCUACUAUAGCGGGGUCGAACGCAUUUUUAGACACAAGGUAUGGAAGGUUGCGUUAAGCAAGCGGUGUUGAUAACAAGGUCUUAAACAAUAGAGCUUUGUGAACCGUGUCAGAGCCUGACCGCAGCAGCACUAAGCAAAUUCCUUUAUGUGCUUUGAGGUAGCUUUGUAGUAGCUGGCUACUUGAUUUCCACUUCGGUGCUUUGUGGCAACAAAUGUGCUUAG